UACGAAGGGGGCUAGCGUUGUUCGGAAUUACUGGGCGUAAAGCGCACGUAGGCGGAUUGUUAAGUCAGAGGUGAAAUCCCGGAGCUCAACUUCGGAACUGCCUUUGAUACUGGCAAUCUAGAGUCCGGAAGAGGUUAGUGGAAUUCCCAGUGUAGAGGUGAAAUUCGUAGAUAUCGGGAGGAACACCAGUGGCGAAGGCGGCGACCUGGGCCAAUAUUGACGCUGAGGUGCGAAAGCGUGGGGAGCAAACAGG
rnacentral:rRNA from 1 species